rnacentral:rRNA from 1 species
GACGUAGGGGGCGAGCGUUGUCCGGAUUUAUUGGGCGUAAAGCGCACGUAGGCGGUUCGUUAAGUCGGAUGUGAAAGCCCUCGGCUCAACUGAGGAAGUGCACCCGAAACUGGCGAGCUUGAGUACGAAAGAGGAUCGCGGAAUUCCCGGUGUAGAGGUGAAAUUCGUAGAUAUCGGGAGGAACACCGGUGGCGAAGGCGGCGAUCUGGGUCGAUACUGACGCUGAGGUGCGAAAGCGUGGGGAGCAAACAGG